rnacentral:rRNA from 1 species
GACGUAGGGGGCGAGCGUUGUCCGGAUUUAUUGGGCGUAAAGCGCGCGCAGGCGGCUCGGAAAGUCGGGUGUGAAAACCCGGGGCUCAACCCUGGACCUGCAUUCGAUACGGGCAGACUAGAGUUCGGUAGGGGAGACUGGAAUUCCUGGUGUAGCGGUGGAAUGCGCAGAUAUCAGGAGGAACGCCGGUGGCGAAGGCGGGUCUCUGGGCAGUAACUGACGCUGAGGAGCGAAAGCGUGGGGAGCGAACAGG